GACGAACGCUGGCGGCGUGCUUAACACAUGCAAGUCGUACGGUAAGGCCCUUUCGGGGGUACACGAGUGGCGAACGGGGGAGUAACACGGGAGUAACCUGCCCACAACUUUGGGAUAACGCUAGGAAACUGGGGCUAAUACUGGAUAUGUGCUACUGCUGCAUGGUGGGGGUUGGAAAGCUCCGGCGGUGGUGGAUGGACUCGCGGCCUAUCAGCUGGUUGGUGGGGUAGUGGCCUACCAAGGCGGCGACGGGUAGCCGGCCUGAGAGGGUGACCGGCCACAUUGGGACUGAGAUACGGCCCAGACUCCUACGGGAGGCAGCUGUGGGGAAUAUUGCACCAUGGGCGCCAGCCUGAUGCAGCAACGCCGCGUGCGGGAUGACGGCCUUCGGGUUGUAAACCGCUUUCAGCAGGGACGAAGCUUUUUGUGACGGUACCUGCAGAAGAAGCACCGGCUAACUACGUG
rnacentral:rRNA from 1 species